GGGGGGGGGGGGGGGGGGGGGGGGGGGGGGGGGGGGGAGCGGGGGGGGGGGGCGGGGGGGUGGAUGCAGGGGCGGGCGGGUGGGUAGGGCGGAGGAGGGGGCGGGGGAGGGGGGGGGAACGUCGGGAAACGGGCGCGAAUACCGCCGACGUCCUGGGGGAGAAAGAGGGGGAUCUGCGGACCCCACGCUACCAGAGCAGCCUAGGUCGGAUGAGCUAGUUGGUGGGGUAAAGGCCUACCAAGGCGACGAUCCGUAACUGGUCUGAGAGGAUGAUCAGUCACACUGGAACUGAGACACGGUCCAGACUCCUACGGGAGGCAGCAGUGGGGAAUAUUGGACAAUGGGCGAAAGCCUGAUCCAGCCAUGCCGCGUGUGUGAAGAAGGUCUUCGGAUUGUAAAGCACUUUAAGUUGGGAGGAAGGGCAGUAAGUUAAUACCUUGCUGUUUUGACGUUACCAACAGAAUAAGCACCGGCUAACUUCGUG
rnacentral:rRNA from 1 species